GGAAGAAGAGGAAACGUGGUGAAGGUGAUUCAAAAUCAGCCGACAAGGAGCCUGAAGUCGGUCAGUGGAAAAGCUUCCAGCCUGACAAGGCUGCACUUGGUGGACCAUUGAAGCCCAAAAAGAAUAAGACUGGUUUCAGCGAUCCAGCUCCAGAGGUUCAGAGUGCACCCGUCCAGACCGGGAGAAUUGAAAUCAAAUCCGUCUCAGCCAUCAAUAAAAACACUGCUCGGGUUAAGGUGGAGGUGAAGAAGCAGCAGGAGUUCUAUGUGUCAACUCAAAAACUGGCAGAGCUCCUCGGUUAUAACAUGGAGGACGGGGUUGAAGGCAGAAUCAGUCGUGCCAUGCCAAUCUCAGCAGAGGCUAAAAUGCGAGAGGAUCAGAUUGUAGAGAUUAAAAAAGUAUUUUAAGAAGAACUCGUUUGUACAUUUUUCCUGUCUGAAACAAUAAAGCUCAGUUUUUCUGGUCAUGGUUUAAUUUGAAGGUUGGUUUGUGGGGUCAUUCUUCAGAGGCGCCAUCACCUGACCAACCACACGUAAGCUCAGGACAGAAACCGUGCGUCCUAGGGUCAGGGACCAAUAAAGAACGAGCUCUGUGGUGAGUUCAGGUUCCACGGAGGACGUCAGUCUGACGGGGACACUCGUGACGAGGACGAACAGGCUUAAUAUUCUCAGCGAGGUCACGUUGGAGCUCUGACAGGCAUUAAACCCACAGCUCUGGUUCUGCUGUGGCUUUAAUGUCUCACCUGUGCAGGUGAAACAGCUUCACUCAUGACCCAGUGUGUCUGCUGGGGUUUGUUUUUUUUAAGCUAGGUUUGUUACAACGUUUAUUCACAGCUACCUUUAGUUGAUCCCGAGUUCAAAAAACAAUGAAACAACCUGUUUAUUUCUACUUGACUUUAUUAAAAAUAUCAAACAUGAGGAAAACAAGCAGGCACACACACACACACACACUCUGCAGCAUCGCUGAGUGAACGACAGUUUCAGACAAACAGUCCAACCAAUCUCACUUUGAAAAACAAAAACCCCAAAACAACAUCGUUGGCGUUCAUCUACAACAGGAAAAAAAAAAAAAAAAAAAAAAAAAAAUGAGUAAGCAAAGAGUUUCACUUCCAAAGACUUUGCAUCCAAUCUGAUAAUAAUCGAGGGAUAAAAACGACCUGAUAUUCACGUUUGAUUUCCAAAAAUAUACAAUAUUUAUAUAAUUACAGUGAAAUCUCGGGCCGGCGGCUCGCUUUGGGAGGAAACUCUUUACUUUAAAACUGCGACACUAACGAUCUGAGUUACAUCCA